GGCGACCAGCACGCUCUUGCGCGCCUUCGCAAUGGCAUGCAGGUAGGCCCGGUGAAUGCUGCGCCGAGAGGACAGCACGGCGAGACUGGUUGACCCUCGCGCCCAUGCGAGGGAGCGCUUGCGGCGCCCCAUCCACUGGCGGAAGCGGUCUUGGAAGGCCAUGCGCCACGUCGCGGCGAAGCGCCGCUCGAGCUCGUGAACCGCCG
rnacentral:misc_RNA from 1 species